rnacentral:lncRNA from 10 species
GGGUACAUGGGGCAUGUUUGCUGGGGAGAAGGGCUGAGGCCAGAGCGCCAAGACAGUCAUUCUCAGAGCUGGGGCUUGUGCUGGCAUUCUCCCCGACUUCAUUUUAUACCCUUCUAUGUUCUGGAGAGCUGGCCCCAUGGACUGCCUCACCCUGGCUCUCCUGCCCUGUGGCUUCUGGUUGAAUUCAGCCAAUGGGAGGCACCAGCAGAUAAUCUGAAGAUGGGAGGAGAGAGAGGCACCUCCAGCAACCUUGCUAGACCACAGUGCGGUGGGACAGCCUUUCCUGGGCUUGAAGACUGCCCCUGCCGCUCCCACCUCCUCUCAUCCUUGAACUUGAGCUGGGGUUUCAGGAUUCCUCUCCAUCCUUAUUCCGCAACCCUCAGGUUCUGAAAAACUGAC